rnacentral:lncRNA from 1 species
CUAUUUUUAAAAUAUAAAAUAUUGAAACUGAGCAGUCCCUUCAUUUUUUUAUCUUUAUAUCUUUAUACUACAAAUUAUCAAGUGUCUUUGAAUGAUGAAGUAUGGAUUAUAUAGUGCCCAGAUUCAGUUUCUUUAGACCCUUCAUUGUUGAUUUUUCUAUCAUGGGGAAGUAGACACUUCAGUAUCAAAGGUGGAUUGAUCUGAUAUAUAGAUAUUUUAAAAACUCUACAGUGUAAAGGCAAUGGUUUACUAUGAAGGAAUAAGGAUAUUUUAUUCUUAUUCCCUUACACUAUCUUUCAAUCAGAAAUUGAUUCUAUUUUUAUGUAUGUACUACAAUCUUGAUAAUGAAUGUUAGUAAACAUAUUUUUAUCGUAUCAGAUAAUCAAGCUGCAUCAAAAGCACCUUAUAGCUGUAUUUCACAUCAAAGUUCGUAUGGGAAUGAAAUUAUCUCGUUGUCAACCAGGAAUGGGAUUCACUGUAUUUAGGUGCCAGGACAAAGGGAUUAAGAUAGUGGGUUGCAGAUGGACUGACCAAGAAAGGGGAUUUCUUCUCUCUCUGUUGGAACUAAGCCUAGAUUAAGCAUUUGCAUAAGUUGUCAAGAACUGAUUGGCAUCACAUCAUCUCUCACUGGAGAUCCAUUUCUGGACUAAGGCAAGCAAAGAUACUUAUUUUAAGUCAAUCAUUACAGAAAACUAGAAAGUUGCUUGCAUUACAUAAAAGUCAAGUAAGGAUUAUUAUUGUUCCUUACAAGACACUGAUUAUCUUAG